GUCCCGGCUUCCGGAAAGGGAUUUCUGUGGAAGUGGGAGGGUGGAUACGCCACAGGUUCAUGAAUUAUGUAUCAAGACACAAGAGAGGUACCAAUUCUUAGAUAUGGGUCUCAUUCCGCUUCCCACCAAACUGGAGUAGGCCAAUAUAGGAAGUUACCGUUUUUCCCUUUUCCUCUACCUCAAGAAUGUGUCAAUGCUUCAAAUAUGCCAGAAAGGAUAAGGCAGUGGGCCUUCAUGUGUGCCUUCUGCAUAUGGAUGAGCUGCAGGGUCAGGCUGUCCCUCCGAAGAGACAGUGCUGAAGACAGUGUCUUGCUGUGUUGUCCAGGCUGGCCUCAAACUUGUCCUGAUGAUUCUCCUCCUCAAUUUCCCGACAUUGCCUUACAGCUGUGCAUACCUGAGGCUGGCUUCAAGUGUCUUUUUAUCAUACCAGGAAUAAAUCUGAAGUCCUUGUAAGAAAUGAUAGCUCUGACUCCUCUGUCCCUCCUUUCCCAGCUGCCUGAGCUCCAAGAACAAUCAGUAGGUUCCAACAUCCUGUAGCCACCUGAACCUGAGAACAAAGCCUGCUCUGCUACAGGCAUAUGCACCCCACCCACUAGUUCACAGUACCCAUCACCAUAGCCCCAUCCUCAGCCAUUCUCACUCCCCAAUCUCAUUCCCAUUGCAUCAUCCCACCUAAGCCCAUCCCACUAACCCCUCCAACCCUCCCCAUAAACUAUUCCACUCAACCCUGGACUUGACUGUCCUUUGGAGUCACUCCAGAAGGUCCCACCUGGAAGCCCCAAACUCAGACUGGCUGUGUGUUUACCAGCUUGUCACCAUUUACCUAACCAGAAGCUGACCAGUUUAUACUCCUCUUGGUACACAGCACUCCUGCCAAAUCAGACUUGUUGCUGUUGUAGAACGUCAGAAACCCCUUUCUUAGCAUUUCUACAAUUUGAUUCCCUCUUCCUAGAAUGGUUUUUCGCCCUUCCCUCCCAUACUACCUGCCGAUCAUUCAUAUCUCUACUCAGAAUCUAAAGUGCCCUUACCACCACCACCUCCUCCUCC
rnacentral:lncRNA from 1 species